UACGUAGGGUGCGAGCGUUGUCCGGAAUUAUUGGGCGUAAAGAGCUCGUAGGCGGUCAGUCGCGUCUGCUGUGAAAACUCGGGGCUUAACUCCGGGCCUGCAGUGGGUACGGGCUGACUAGAGUGCGGUAGGGGAGACUGGAAUUCCUGGUGUAGCGGUGAAAUGCGCAGAUAUCAGGAGGAACACCGAUGGCGAAGGCAGUGGGCUGGGCCGGCACUGACGCUGAGGAGCGAAAGCGUGGGGAGCGAACAGG
rnacentral:rRNA from 1 species